rnacentral:lncRNA from 1 species
CUUUGAUCUCAUGGCUCUGUCUUUUACUCAAGUCUAGUUUUGUGCCACUGCAAAGCCAUGGUUUAGCCCGUGAGCACAGCUGGGACCUGUGAUUUGAGGGUGGUUCGGGGAAGGAUCCCAUGUAAAAUAAAUGAGGAUCGGUUAGAAGAAUCCUUCGCUCUGUUUUGAGCCGCUUGGAAAAGCCAUCUGGCAACUAAGGGUUAAAUAUACCGAGUUGAGAUUGCUAGAAGGGAAGAAGGAAAACCCUGGCAAGCAGGAAACGGAACUGUCUCCAUAGGAAGUGCUCCCACUCUCCCCCACCCAAAAAAGGUCCCUUCCGGUCUGUCCUUUUUCUUCCUCCGGGAGGAAAGCGUGACUUGGCCUUCUAGAAAGGUUCUUUGGGGAUCUGUUGGAGCCUCUUCCUGCCUCUCCCCCUCCCAAUUGCGACUGGGUUGGUGAGAAAUCUCUCUGUGGAAGCUCAGUCAGAGAUCCAGGUAGCAGAGCAGCCUCACUUCCAGACCAAACAGAGUGCCCAGCAAGAAGAGAGCCAUCAGAGCAAUAGGGAGGUGUCCGCCUUGAUCGGUAAGGAUUCAUGUUUUUCCCUGUGUGAAAGGAGAAUCAUUUUUCUUUGUUUUUUGUUUUACUUAACUCUCUUGGUCUGUGGGAAAGGAAAAAAAAACUAUUCUUUUGUUCUUUAUGUGCUUCAACCCAGUGCUGUGGUUUUCAGUAUUCCAAGAUUUUUUUUAUAUAGCAACCAGUUCCUUGUGGCUAAAUGGAAAUGCAUUUUCACCCAUAUUUCUCCAUGAGUGGUCUCCACAUUCUUUCAAUAAAUAAAAAUAAAUAAAAAUAAAAUAUUUUCA